UGCUAUACAUGCAGUCGAGCGAGCUUGCCUAGAUGAAUUUGGUGCUUGCACCAAAUGAAACUAGAUACAAGCGAGCGGCGGACGGGUGAGUAACACGUGGGUAACCUGCCCAAGAGACUGGGAUAACACCUGGAAACAGAUGCUAAUACCGGAUAACAACACUAGACGCAUGUCUAGAGUUUAAAAGAUGGUUCUGCUAUCACUCUUGGAUGGACCUGCGGUGCAUUAGCUAGUUGGUAAGGUAACGGCUUACCAAGGCAAUGAUGCAUAGCCGAGUUGAGAGACUGAUCGGCCACAUUGGGACUGAGACACGGCCCAAACUCCUACGGGAGGCAGCAGUAGGGAAUCUUCCACAAUGGACGCAAGUCUGAUGGAGCAACGCCGCGUGAGUGAAGAAGGGUUUCGGCUCGUAAAGCUCUGUUGGUAGUGAAGAAAGAUAGAGGUAGUAACUGGCCUUUAUUUGACGGUAAUUACUUAGAAAGUCACGGCUAACUACGUGCCAGCAGCCGCCGGUAAAAAAAUU
rnacentral:rRNA from 1 species